rnacentral:rRNA from 1 species
GUUCGGACUGCAGUCUGCAACUCGACUGCACGAAGCUGGAAUCGCUAGUAAUCGCGGAUCAGCACGCCGCGGUGAAUACGUUCCCGGGCCUUGUACACACCGCCCGUCACACCAUGGAAGUCUGCAAUGCCCGAAGCCGGUGGCCUAACCACUUAUGUGGAAGGAGCCGUCUAAGGCAGGGCAGAUGACUGGGGUGAAGUCGUAACAAGGUACC